CCCUUAGAUGUCCUGGGCCGCACGCGCGUUACACUGAUGCAUUCAACGAGCUUAUAACCUUGGCCGAGAGGCCUGGGCAAUCUUGUUAACGUGCAUCGUGAUAGGGAUAGAUUAUUGAAAUUAUUAAUCUUGAACGAGGAAUUCCUAGUAAACGCAGAUCAUCAAUCUGCAUUGAUUACGUCCCUGCCCUUUGUACACACCGCCCGUCGCACCUACCGAUUGAAUGGUCCGGUGAAAUCUUCGGAUUGAGACUUUGUUUUCUUCACGGAAAACGCUGUUUUAAAAAGUUGAUUAAACCUUACCAUUUAGAGGAAGGUGAAGUCGUAACA
rnacentral:rRNA from 1 species